GACGAACGCUGGCGGCGUGCCUAAUACAUGCAAGUCGAGCGAAUCAAUUGAAAGCCUAGCUUUCAUGAGGUUAGCGGCGGACGGGUGAGUAACACGUGGGUAACCUGCCCUAUAGACUGGGAUAACUCGCGGAAACGCGUGCUAAUACCGGAUAACACAUCAAAGUGCAUGCUUUGAUGUUGAAAGAUGGUUCUGCUAUCACUAUAGGAUGGGGCCCGCGGCGCAUUAGCUUGUUGGUGGGGUAACGGCCUACCAAGGCGACGAUGCGUAGCCGACCUGAGAGGGUGAUCGGCCACACUGGGACUGAGACACGGCCCAGACUCCUACGGGAGGCUG
rnacentral:rRNA from 1 species